UCAGGAUGAAGUGGCCUGAAUCCCAGC
rnacentral:piRNA from 1 species